GAAAGUAAGCAAGGGCAGACGGUGGAUGCCUUGGCUCUCGGAGGCGACGAAGGACGUGAUAAGCUGCGAAAAGCCCGGGGGAGGCGCAAAUAGCCCUUGAUCCCGGGAUAUCCGAAUGGGGCAACCCGGCAGGCUGAAGGCCUGCCAUCCCGUAAGGGAGGCGAACGUGGGGAACUGAAACAUCUAAGUACCCAUAGGAGGAGAAAAUAAACAAUGAUUCCGUAAGUAGUGGCGAGCGAACACGGAAGAGCCCAAACCCAUGUCGUCUAGGCGACACGGGGGUUGUAGGACCACGACGUGGCAAGAUAGAGUCAAGUGGAACGCCUUGGAAAAGGCGGUCAUAGAGGGUGAAAACCCCGUACACGACUGACGAUUGAAGCCUAGUGGCAUCCUGAGUAGCGCGGGGCACGAGAAAUCUUGCGUGAAUUAGCGGGGCCCAUCCCGUAAGGCUAAAUACUCCCGAGAGACCGAUAGCGAACCAGUACCGUGAGGGAAAGGUGAAAAGAACCCCGAGCAGGGGAGUGAAAUAGACCCUGAACCCGUCUGCCUACAAGCGGUCGGAGCGUCGUAAUGACGUGACGGCGUGCCUUUUGCAUAAUGAACCUACGAGUUACCUUCCCCGGCAAGGUUAAGUACCUAAGGUACGGAGCCGAAGCGAAAGCGAGUCUGAACAGGGCGCCAAGUCGGGGGGGGUAGACGCGAAACCGAGUGAUCUACCCUUGGCCAGGUUGAAGGUUGGGUAACACCAACUGGAGGACCGGAUGGGUAAGCGUUGAAAAGCUUUCCAAUGAGCUGAGGGUAGGGGUGAAAGGCUAAUCAAACUCGGAGAUAGCUCGUACUCCCCGAAAUGCAUUUAGGUGCAGCCUCUUUAUAGUAUAUCGUGAGGUAGAGCGACUGAUUGGAUGCGAGGGCUUCACCGCCUAUCAAGUCCAGAUAAACUCCGAAUGCGCGAUAUAUAUUUACAGGGAGUGAGGGCGCGGGUGCUAAGGUCCGUGUCCGAGAGGAGAAGAAUCCAGACCACCGGCUAAGGCCCCCAAAUGAUCGUUAAGUUGAACUAACGAGGUCGGAUCGCAGAGACAGCUAGGAUGUUGGCUUGGAAGCAGCCAUUCAUUUAAAGAGUGCGUAACAGCUCACUAGUCGAGCGAUCUGGCGUGGAUAAUAAUCGGGCAUAAACGAUCUGCCGAAGCCGUGGAUGUCGCAAGACAUGGUAGGGGAGCAUUCCAUGCCGCGUCGAAGAUGAGGGAUGACCCUUGUUGGAGCGCAUGGAAAAGCAAAUGUAGGUAUGAGUAACGAUAAGGGGGGCGAGAAACCCCCCCGCCGAAAGACCAAGGUUUCCUGAUCAACGCUAAUCGGAUCAGGGUGAGUCGGGACCUAAGGCAAAGCCGAACGGCGCCGCCGAUGGAAGAAUGGGUUAAUAUUCCCAUACUGCCUCAUGGAGUGACGUGGAGACGGAGAAGUGACAGUCCUGCCGGCUGACGGAAUAGCCGGUUGAAGGGUGUAGAUAUUGAUUCCCGUAGGCAAAUCCGCGGGGAGAGUCGAACCUGAGAGUAUACGGAGCGCUUGCGCAACGUAAUAUGGACGUAACCAUGCUCCCGAGAAAAUCCGCUAAACUUAUCCAUGCGGCACCCGUACCGUAAACGGACACACGUGGUCGGGUUGAGAAUACUGAGGCGCUCGAGUGAUUCACGGUUAAGGAACUAGGCAAAUUGACCCUGUAACUUCGGGAUAAAGGGUCCUCGUCGUAAGGCGAGGCGCAGAGAAUAGGUCCAGGCAACUGUUUAACAAAAACACAUGGCUGUGCUAAAUGGAAACAUGAUGUAUACAGCCUGACACCUGCCCGGUGCCGGAAGGUUAAGAGGAGAUGUCAUCCGCGAGGAGAAGCGUUGAAUUGAAGCCCCGGUAAACGGCGGCCGUAACUAUAACGGUCCUAAGGUAGCGAAAUUCCUUGUCGGGUAAGUUCCGACCUGCACGAAUGGUGUAAUGAUCUGGACACUGUCUCAACCGUGAGCUCGGUGAAAUUGUAGUAUCGGUGAAGAUGCCGAUUACCCGCGAUGGGACGAAAAGACCCCGUGAACCUUUACUAUAGCUUUACAUUGAGUUUGGGCAGACGAUGUGUAGGAUAGGCCGGAGGCAUUGAAGCAGGUACGCCAGUAUUUGUGGAGCCGACGUUGAAAUACGGCCCUUCGGUUGUUUGAGUUCUAACUCCUAGUUAGGAGGACACUGUAUGGUGGGUAGUUUGACUGGGGUGGUCGCCUCCAAAAGCGUAACGGAGGCUUCUAAAGGUGCCCUCAGACCGAUUGGUAACCGGUCGCAGAGUGUAAUGGCAUAAGGGCGCUUGACUGGGAGACAUACAAGUCGAUCAGGUAGGAAACUAGAGCAUAGUGAUCCGGUGGUUCCGCAUGGAAGGGCCAUCGCUCAAAGGAUAAAAGGUACUCCGGGGAUAACAGGCUGAUCCCUCCCAAGAGCUCAUAUCGACGGAGUGGUUUGGCACCUCGAUGUCGGCUCGUCACAUCCUGGGGCUGGAGAAGGUCCCAAGGGUUGGGCUGUUCGCCCAUUAAAGUGGCACGCGAGCUGGGUUCAGAACGUCGUGAGAC
rnacentral:rRNA from 1 species